UACGUAGGGGGCAAGCGUUGUCCGGAAUCAUUGGGCGUAAAGAGCGUGUAGGCGGCUCGAUAAGUCCGCUGUGAAAGUCCAGGGCUCAACCCUGGAAGGCCGGUGGAAACUGUCGGGCUAGAGUCCGGAGGAGGCGAGUGGAAUCCCCGGUGUAGCGGUGAAAUGCGCAGAUAUCGGGAGGAACACCAAUGGCGAAGGCAGCUCGCUGGGACGGUACUGACGCUGAGACGCGAAAGCGUGGGGAGCAAACAGG
rnacentral:rRNA from 1 species